CUGGUGGAAAUGCCACUCCUGCUGCCUGUGAGCAAUGGCAAAUAGAACAAGGGGUUGCUGCUGAGCCUGGCGUGUGCACCCUGAGCGGGACCGGACAUCUUCCUCUGCCACGCUGCCCCGACCUUUGUGGUGAGGUUGUGCAUGGAGAAAUGUGCUGAACCACCCCGUUGCCAUGGAAACCAAGGCCGAGAGGGGACCAGCCUGCUCCUGCUAAUUGCUGUGGCUUUGUGACCCCAUCCGUCCAUCCUGCUGCCUCCCGUGAGCCUGUCCGAAUGCACAGCGCUGGCCCCAUCCUGCAUCAUCCUGCCCUUUGGCUCCCAGCCCCAAUGCUGUGAGCAGGAUCUGGGGUUCCUCUUUCUCUCCUUUGUGUUGUCACAACCUGCACAAGAUCAGUUAAAAUCCGUGGCUUGAGCAUCCCUGCAGCCCAUCACCCCGUGCGUGCACAUCUGCCUGCAUGCUUGUUGCAGGAGCACGGUGGCGGUGCAGUGAUGCACCUCCCUUGCCCUGCAUCCCGGGCUGCCCUGCCUUUAUCUCGUCCAAUUAAAUAACUGCAGAUAGUGGGCUUAAUAAGGCCCUGCUAUGAAAGAUUACUGACGAUUUCUUUCCCAACGUGCGGUGAAUUAGGAGGCAGUGAGCAGGGAAAGGACUGCUGCUAAUUACAGUCCCCCAUGUCCCCUCUGCUGCCACCACUGCUGCUGGGCCCCUCGCUGCUCCCUGCACCUGAUUGCAUUUUGCUGCUGGUUGUGGCCAAUUUGCAGCUCUCAGCUGCUGCUGCUUCUCCCUUCCCCCCACGCCCCCUGCUCCUCUUCGAGUUUAUUAAUGAAAACCUUAUCUGUCGGUGCAGAUAAUGCCAGAAAUAAUUAGUGCACACGGAGGGCUGGCAGGCUGCUCUCUGCUCCCACCACCCACACCCUCUCCUCUCACUGUUUACAGUUUCCUGUGCUGCUUGGG
rnacentral:lncRNA from 1 species